rnacentral:ncRNA from 1 species
CACCCUGGAAACGGCUCAGCCGGAGGUAGGGUCCAGCAGCCGGAAGAGCACCGCACGUCGCGUGGUGUCCGGUGUGCCCCCGGUGGCCUUUGAAAAUUUGGAGGACCGAGUGCCGUCCGCGCCCGAUUGUACUCAUAACCGCAUCAGGUCUCCAAGGUGAACAGCCUCUGGUCAAUGGAACAAUGUAGGCAAGGGAAGUC